UAGUUAAGACGUGUUUUAUAUCCUUCCA
rnacentral:piRNA from 1 species